AAAGUGAAAGUGCAUCAAAACUUUAACCUAAUUGCGACCGCGGAAGGACACCAACGCCGGGUCGAGUAAUACAGCUCUCCAUACUUCGUAUAGUCGAGCUAGAAAUGACAAUUUUAUCUUCAUAAGUUUGAUAAUUAUGAUAUAACAGGAAAACUAUGACAAAGGCGUACGUAGGAUUUAUAUAGGCAGAUGGCCCCCGAUUUUUGAAAAAUAAAAAGAUUGAUGACAGUGUUAAAAAUCGACAAUUUUCAUUAACAAAACUUUAAACUACCGAACUAUGUCGUUUUUAAUAUUAACACAUUCUCAGUAUUGGUGUAAAGUGAGUUCAAAGUACGAACGGUACUGGCAUUUUGUGUUAAAACUGCUGAAUUCGGCCAUUUCAGACUCAAAAUUCGCUUAUUAGCAACCCUUGCUCCGGUUAACAAUUUAUAACAGCUAUUACAAUUGUUAAUUCCAUUUAAUAUUUUCCUAACCAGAAUCCGGAGCAAGGGUUGCUAAUAAACGAAUUUUGGAAAAAACGAUAAUAUUUGUUUGGCCUUUUUCACGUAUACGAGUAGCCUCCCUUGAAGCUAGGUGCUCGUUGCCAGGCAAUAUUAUAGGUGGCGCCACUGUCAACAUGUGGAUGUGAAAACGAAAGUAGCUUAUUUAUCGUGGAAUAAUAACAAUUGUUUACCCUUCUACGUGGAAUUUAUAUGGUAAUGGUAUGAAUUGAGAUGAUUUAUUUAGUUACCUUCAACUGGUCAGUGGUCAACAAGGCCAGAGUAUACAGCUUCCCAAAAUGUUGAAAGACUAAGCUGUUUUUUUUUUCUAAGGACUUGUAUACUAUCUAGGUUGAAAUUAGCCAUGGACAAUGAAUUUGGAGGUGCAUGCAGGAGCAUCAGAAAUUACAGACUUGGAAUAGAUAUUUGCAUAAUAUACAAAUAACAUUUACUGAAAAAUGACUAAUAUUUAUGUUAAUAAAGUGCAAUAUCCAUGCUUGCAACAUUUAUAUGGGGGUAAUAGUUACAGUGUUCAAAGGGACUACCAGUGUUACAUUUCAAUCUAAGUUACAGGUUGGAUGCUAAUUCUAAAUUCUUGAUAGUCAAGUGUUUAUUCCCUUUUCAUCUUUUCGUUGAUUAUGAUUUAUUUAAUUUUUUAAUCAGAUUUCAUUUUUAUUGUUUAAGUUGUUUGUAUUUUAUUAAUUCUGUUCCACAGGAAUGAGUCAAUACUUUGUUAAUUUGUUUAUGUUUCAUUUCUUGAGAUGCGUGAGCAUUUAUUUGCUGAUGUAAUCAAUCAAUCCGCACAUCAAUCAAUUAGUCAAUCAGUCAGUCAAUCAAUCGACUAAUCAAUCAUUAAGUCAAUCAAUCAAUCAAUCAAAUAACCAACAGAACCACCAAACAGUCAGUCAAUCAAUCAAUUCAACAGCCAAUCAAUCAAUCAAUCAAUCAAUCAAUCAAUCACUCAAUCAUCAGUCCAUCAAUCAACCAAACAGUCUAUCACUUCAUCACUCAAUCAAGCAGUCAGUGAAGGAUCAUUCACUUAUGCUCGAACAAGUACUUGAUGAUUGUUUAAUUUAGAUAUCAUCCUUAUUCAUUCAAUCAAUCAAUCAAAUACAUGAUUAAUCAGUCGGUUAGGCUUUAAUCAAUCAUCAUUUUUUCAUUUAGAUAUUAAAUGCGUAAGCAGAAAUGCAGGUGUCACUGCAGUGUAUAACCGUUUAGUUCAUUCACAUAAUGUCAUUUGUUGGUAUUUGUUCGUUCUUACAUCAGCAACUCAAUCAGUCAGUCAAUCAACUAAUCAAUCAGCAAAUCAGCCCAUUUAUCAAUCAGUUUAUUCCUCGUUUAAGUAAUUUCUCUUCAUUCCGUUAUUUUAAAACACAUUAACAGAAUGCUCAUUUAUUCAGUAAAUCAGUAGAUUUAAUGCAUACGUAUAUAUAUUCAAUCAGUCAGUCAAUACUCAUUCAGUCAAUCAAUCAGCCCUCGUAUUAGAGUCUAAAAAGUCAACCACCAUGUCUGCAUCAUACAGAGUCGAUCAAUAGAUCAAUAAAUCAAUCACUCAAGAAGUCAGACAGUAAGACAGUCAUCAAUCAGUCAGUUACACCAUUGAUUGAUCAGUCAGUCAAUCACUCAGUCAAUC
rnacentral:lncRNA from 1 species